GCGCAACCCUCGACCUUAGUUGCCAGCAUUCGAGUUGGGCACUCUAAGGUGACUGCCGGCUAAAAGUCGGAGGAAGGUGGGGAUGACGUCAAAUCAUCAUGCCCCUUAUGACCUGGGCUACACACGUGCUACAAUGGGCGGUACAAAGGGUCGCGAACCCGCGAGGGGGAGCCAAUCCCAAAAAGCCGCUCUCAGUUCGGAUUGCAGGCUGCAACUCGCCUGCAUGAAGCCGGAAUCGCUAGUAAUCGCGGAUCAGCAUGCCGCGGUGAAUACGUUCCCGGGCCUU
rnacentral:rRNA from 1 species